CUCUGUGUCCUGCAGAGCCCAGGCCUUGGUGCCUUUUUACCUGCCAGCUCCCUUUGCCCCCUGACAUGCUGCCAGGUGGUUGCUUAGCAACCUCUCCAGCCAGCUUGAGCAUCCUGGCAUAAAUUGCUGUUAGGCACCGGGAGAGAGUUUUUUUUCCCUCCUCUCUCUCUUGUGUUUUAAGCAAAGAGACAUCCUAAAAUAGGGCAUUUUUUUUUUCCUGUUCCUUUUUUCUGUGUGUGUGUGACAGACAACUCCUGUGUAAAUGUUGAAAUCUGUGUUGUCUGUCAGGAGCAGUCAAUCUGAAAACUUUGCUGAAGAGAAUGUAUAUUUAGUAACGGGUGACAAAGAGAGGAAGACAUUGAGAUGUCAAUUAUUCUGGUCGUGAUGGAGGGCCAGCCAGCGCUCCUCCUGGCCCACUUGCAUGACUAAGACACAGACACCACGUUCUGACUCAAGGCAGCCUGUGCUUUCCUUCUGCUUGGACGACGGAGCAAAGUUUGAAUCCUCGAUGCUGCUCGCAGGGCUUCUUGUGUUUGGAAUUCGCUCCUGCGCCGGUUUUGAGGGACCACACUGACUGCAGGUUUUUGCCAGCUUCAAGCAGCAGAAAGAGAACGGAUGUCCCUGCUUCGUUUUUCUUGGUUUGCCUUGAUCAGAAGCAAUCAAGGCGAUGGGGCCGCUGCUGGGAUCUGUGGGGAAAUCAAGCUUCCGCUGGCCUUCGUGCUGUCUAAGCCUAGAAGCAUGAGCGUCACUGAAGGCAGCCCGCAUCCCAGCUGGCCCAGAUGCAGCCUUCCUGAGUCUUCCACACUGUGUCUGGCGCCAUAAAAACUUUGCAGAGGGAUGCGUGAAAGGAGAGAUGGAUGGAUGGAUGUCGGGAAGUGACCUGAGAUCAUCCUGUCC
rnacentral:lncRNA from 1 species